rnacentral:rRNA from 1 species
AUGGCAGGUGAAGAAAACGAGUAUGAUGUUGAAGGAAAUGGGCAUCUCAAUCAGCCCGUCACACGGUUUCACUUCAAUGCAUUACGUGAUCAUCUACGCAGAGAGUUCAGAAAUAGCCUUGACCCAAUUGAAGAGAAGCAAGACAAGUUGUCGAGAGAUUUGCAGCAACUUAUGGGUAAUGUUGAUGAGCAACUCACUCAGAACAUGGCAGCCAUGAGGACUGGUAUUGUUGCUGAUAUUGUGCGAGAGCUUUGUCAGAACCGAGAAGAUGCAAGUGUCCAUGGUGAAGAACAAAAUGUAACUGAUGGGGAAGGUGUUGCCUCCAAUGCACAAGCUAGAAGAAACCGUGCUCCUGCUCCUCAUGCCAUGAGACCUCCCAGUCCCGGACGUGGAAAUGAUCAUGGUAAUGGACGUGGUCAUCAUGAAGCUGCUGGUGGUCGUGGUCUUAGAGGAGGCCACCGAAGAGCAAAUCUGCACCAUGAAGGUAGUGGAGAUGAGUUUGAUGAAGAUGAAGAAGGCAUGCACCAGAAUGACAUAUUUCAUCAUCGUAGAAACUAUGGUCGUGGACGGCAGGAGGAGGAGAGGUUUGGAAAGCUGAAAUUUACCAUGCCCAAGUUUGAUGGUGGAUCUGAUCCAAAAAGUUAUCUCACAUGGGAAUUGAAGGUUGACAAGAUUUUCCGCAUGCACAACUACUCUGAAGAGAAGAAAUUAGCAAUGGCCUCACUUGAGUUUGAAGACUAUGCUCUAAUUUGGUGGGAGCAAGUUCAGAUUCAGCGAGAAGAAGAAGGAGAGCCUGCUGUUGCUACAUGGACAGAAAUGAAAAGAGAGAUGAGGGCAAGAUUUGUCCAAGGCAUUAUAGACGUGACAUCUUUGAUAAGCUCCAGAAUUUGA